ensembl:snoRNA
AAUGAGGUGUUUCCUGUCUUAUGAUGAAUUUCAGAGGGCAGAUUCUGAUGUGAAAAUUUAAUUCAUCAUUGAUAUCCUACUAUGGAUUCUGAAGACACUAGAAAAAAA